UUUAAAAAUGUCUGAUUAUUGUAUUAAAUAAAAAGUUUGAUUUUAGUAAAAUCAAUACCAUUCAAUAUUAAUCAAUAUUUUCUUCUCUAAGUCCUAUAUAAAGUAAAUUUUUUGGUGAUGCCUAGGUCUCAAACUACAUCAUUUGGUUCGUGGUAGACUUUUAAUUGCGUUUAGUUCCUAUUCUAUCAUAAUAGUGAACUUUCAAGCCGCCACAAGCCAAUCGGAGAUGGCAUAAAACUUGCCUUCAUGCAAACUUCAAAUGAUUUCUUUUCAGAGAACAUGCUCUUGAGGUCUAUGGGGCUAGAACCAUAUCUGCAGAAUAGCAUAGAUGAAGAAGCAAUCAGAGUUGAAUCCAUGACGUUUAGUCCUAGCUAUAAAACAAGUGAGUCAUUCUAUUCUAUCCUAAUCUAAGGUACUUAAAGAGCACUUAGUAUGGCAGAAGCUAUUUUUACCGCAGAUUGCUCGUCAAAGCAAAGUUUAAAGAAUUUAAACACUAUAUAAACAAAUAAUUUUUUUUAGGAUGUGAAUGUGUAGAUCUAUUGUAUUAGGAAUAUUCCAAGAUAAACUCAGUGGUGAGUGACGCCUUCAAUCGUUCUCAAAUAUUACACGUUUGUUGUUUCGUUCGACAAAAUUACAUACCGUUGCACUACACCAACACCUCAAGUCACAUUUAUCUCCGCACGAUUUUGACGCUGGUUCAGUCAAUUGUUUCGGUGCCAGUUGGUACUGCUGUUGCAACAAGUAGUUGAUGUUACUGUAUGUUGUUAUCGGCAUUUCAAUUACUGCGCCGCUGUUCUGCCCUUGCCACUUCCUUAGUCUUGUCAACUGAGGUGUGAACUACUGCUCUAUAUGUGAAUUUAUGUGCAGGCGUAAAUGUCAGUGUAACGUCGUUGACUGGUAACUUACGCACGUGCCUUGCCGAGAGAACUUGAACUAGUGCAAAAAAUAUUUUAUUUUAUUUUCUUUCCCCUUUAAGGUUAGUAAAGUAAUGCAAAGGGUAAUGGCAGUGUAAUUCAAGUAAACGAAGUAUCGAAGGGAUUACUUGGCAGUUCCUAAAAUGAAAAGAGAACACAGUUUGUUUUCAGUAGAUUUUCCAGUAGGGCCCAUUCGUCAAUCGUAGCGCAAGUCCAUUCGAAUGUUCUAUCCAUCAUUGUUUGGCAUGGCUGCGCUUUAGCUGUUGACCACAUUGUUUGAGCGCUCUAGGUGUUAGUGCGUACACCUGCACGUAUGUGUGCGUAUCUGUUUUAUUGGCAAUUGUUACAACGGUAACUACAAGUUUGACAGGUGGACUUGUCAUUUGAUUGCCAUUUGUUAUGUUGAAGUUGAUGCGGCCGUUGCUGCUAUUGUUGCUGUUGCUAUUGCUUUUGUUGUUCAUUGGUUUUCGGUUUUGAUGCUGCCGGUUUCGUUUCGGUUGAUUUUGGUUUUGUCAAAAUCCAUUUGCUGAUACUGAUUUGGUAUGUUGUUGGCAAAAACACUUAGCACCGAUAGCUUACAAAACGAUUUGUACGAAUUUCACAUGCGUAGUAGUUUGGUCAUUUUCUGAUUGAUUCAAUGCAAUAAUUUUGUGUUUAAUUUGCAAAUAGCAUGUGCUUCCGGGAUUAAGAUGCUAAUAAAUAAAAAUAUUUAAAGCAUGGUUAGUUCAUAGUGAGAUUUGUGUGAAUAAACCAGCGGGAUACUAUUCUAAAUUUAUGGAAUUUACUAAAUGUUUAAGCUUUGGAAUAUACAGUUUCCAUAAGUAUUUUGAUUAUUAUUUUUACUUUAUAUGUAGAUUUCAGUCCCUCGCGCCAACUAGUGGUGUUUUUAAAGAAGUCUGCCAUUACCAAAAUAUUCUUCAUCUUCAAUCUUUUAGUUUUCCAAUAAAUUGAUGAAUAUUAUUUACAUGACCUCAUAAUGUAUAAUCUUAAGUUAUGUCUGUAAGUUUAUUCUAAAGGUCUUGCUCAUGCGUGCUUGCUCAAACUCGAUUAAUACAAGUAAUUAAAAUCUUGUCUUCUUCGCUAGCAGCGAAACAAUCCCAGCAAUCCUCAGUAGAAUUCCAGCUGCCCUAUGACAAACCAUUGUUUUCUUGCUUAAUUGAAGCUUAGCGUUUUCCCCUGUCGAUCAGGCUGUAAUGUAAUGAGACAUUGCAACGCAACGGCGGUCACACUUGAACAUUACCUCUGUUGCCAUGUGGGGCAUGCAGCAAUUCGUAAACACACGCAAGUAGUAUUUAUAUCUAUACGUAUAUGUAUGUAUGUAACUCACCACUCCGUAACACUUUUGGGGAUUGCCCAACAACAAUGCAAUGUUGCAACAUGCCGGCGUUGCUAUUUCUUUCGAGAUGAGUGUUCACGCUUUUUGAAAUGUGCGUGUUUUAACUAUGUUAUAUUCCGAUAUAAGCAUGCGCGUUGUUAUUGUAAGUGAGUAUUAAUAAAUCAAUUAAUCGAAUUAUCGGUUAUUGAAUUUCAAUGGUGUAUUAUUGAUGUUGUUAUUGUUUCUGGUGUUGGCGUGAUUACCAACAUUUAUAUAUAUAUUAUAUAUAUACAUACAUACCCAGUAAAAAUCUUUGGAUUAAUACUAAAAUCGAGUAAUAAAGGAGUAAUUACUUGUUCAUCCAUUUCGAGCAUUAAGUGAGUAAUAAAGGCAGUUUCGUUAAUUUUUUCAAAAUUUUUCUCGCUUAUUGAUACAUUAUGGAGGAAUAAACGAGCUAAUAAUAUGCGAAUACUUCGUUUAUUCUAUUAUUACUCCAAAAUGUAUCAAUAAAGGAGUAAUUAAUUGUUCAUCCUUUUCGAGCAUUAUGUGAGCAAUGAAGCAUUUUCGUUAGUUUUUACAAAAAUCGUUUCCUCGCUUAUUGAUACAUUUUGGAGGAAUAGACGAGCUAUUAAUAUGCUAUCGCAUACUUCUAUUGCUCGUUUAUUACUCCAAAAUGUAUCAAUAACGGAUUAACCAUAACGGCCAAUCAUAACUGUUAAUUUUUGUGGAAUUCUUUUGUUUACAAUAAAAGCGUUUUUUGUCACUUUAAAAUAGUCUGAAUUUUGUAAUCAACGCGUGAACAUUAUUGUAGUAUCGUGAAUAUAAUCAGAUAAAAAGUGGUCAACUGUCGCGAAUAUUUACGGGUAAAAAGUGAUAAUUAAUUAAAAAAAUGUGUGAAAAUAUUUAUUCUAAGCGUCACCUAAGGCGAUUAGUGAAAAAAGAAAUUCAAACAUUUUCUACAAAGAAUCGAGAGGCUGUUUAACUUUUUCUUUUUCGAAUCAGUUAAAGAAACAUAUUCGACUUACGGGGAUUUUGAAAAAGCGAUUAAACUGGCCUUUCGAAAAUGUAAAGCAACUUUUUACCGAAAGACCUAUUCAAUAAAAUCUGCUUCGUCUCAGGAAAAUUCCUAAAUCAUAACUUGAUUUUAAACAAUUAUAACUAUGCAUAUACAAUGUAUUUAUAAUUUAUGUGAAUUACUAAUACUUAUAUUUUGAAAAUUAAAACAUUGAAUUCAAUUAUUUAAAAAACAGUUUAUAUUUUUCUCUGCUCUUUUUGGAUGUAAAUAAUAUUACUCUUUUUUGUGCUCUUUCUGGAGGCAAAAAUCAUUACUCUUUUUGUGCUCUUCUAUUCCAAAAUAAUUACUCCUUUUGUACUCCUUCUGGAGAUAAAAAAGAUCACUCCCUCUGCUCUCGUUUCGGAGGUCAAAAAGAGCUCAAAAGAAUGCUCGGUUUGCGCUCCAUUGGGAGCUCAAAAGGAGUGAUCCCUCGUAAGGACAUGCUAUGUUAAAAAGGAGUAAUAAAUGCAUGGACCUCGGAGCAUUGUGGAGUAAUCCAUUACUCGCAAAGGAGCGAUCUAAGAUUAAUCUUUGGAUCAUCCAAUUUUUUACUGGGUAUGUACAUAUUGAAAUAUACAUAUAUGUAUGGAUGUGAUGUGGUAUAAGCUUACUACAAUAGCAACAUUAUUUAACUGCAUCAACAACAUAUUGAAGUAAUUACAAUUCGUGCUUUCAGAGCUCUGCCUCUAUAUUUGUUGUGCAUAAUUUAUUGGAUUCACUGAUAAAAAAUUAAUCACACAUAAGAUUUGAUGGUAGAAAUAUAUACAUAUACAAAAUACUUUGGCAAUUGACAAGUAAAACGCCUUUAAACUUUAAAAAUUGUAAGUACAGUUAGAGUUGAGCAAUUUAAGUUAAUCAGCAAUGUACGGAAUCAAGUAGCAGAUCACAGCAUAGUUUAAUCUUCCUUAAAACAUUCAAAAAAUCGCUGUAUGUAAAAAAACUGAAAAAUGAAAGUGUAUUCAGAACUUCGCAAAAUGACUUGAGCGGCAUCAGCUAAAGCGACAUUAAAAAUUCACAGCAAUUUGCCUGAAUCUCUAUGGCGAAUGUAACAAUAUUAACAUAUACAUACAUCUAAGAACCAACAGUAUCGGCACUAAUUAACACUAACCAAAUGAUAAAAAAUUGUUAGAAACUCACUUAUGAAAGCAUUUAGUCAUUCAAUGAAUUCUAAAGUAUCACUCAUACUCGUAGCCGAUGAGAGCAAACAAAUACUUCUGUGUUUGCACAAUUGUAUAUAUUUUCUUCCCCUUUUGAGUGUCUGUAAACAUACAUACACAUGAACACAUUUUGUAAGCUAAAUGUGGCAUUUGUGACUAAUUUCCAGUUAACCUUUGGCAGGCACUUAAUUAGGGGCGUCAGCGAAUGCGCGCUGAAAGGCAACAAAAAGGGGUUCAAUCGGUCGAUCGGUCGCUAUGUCAUGGCGUGGAGACACGACCCUUUUCUACAAGAAUAAAUAUGCUUAAUGUUCAUGUAAAACCACAACGAACGCAACGAAAUACUUUACAAAAUUUAAUUAAGCCUACAGGCAACUACUCAUACAAACCUAACGAAAAUAUAAAUUCAUUCAAUACAUAUUUAACUAAUGCACAUACAGAUAUAUUUAUAUAUCGCCAAUUGCUGGUGUGUGUUGGGAUAUGUGUGUAAGCAUUGAAUAAAUAUUUCAAUAACUCAAAUUAUAGCGUUUAAUAGCUGAAAUAUAAUGAAAAAUUGCCGCAUCUGUUGAAGUGCUGGGAAAACUGAACUCUGAAAGGUCUGCCUUUUGGGGUUUUGGGUUGUCUUGAAGCAAGCAAUUUGUGCUUGGUAUAAAAGUAAUGCAAUUAACAACAAUAUUUUAAAUAGACUCUUACUUACAUACAUAACGGUAGUAUAAAUAGGAAUUCAUCAAUAUGCUGGGAAAUUUCGAAGGCAUAAUACAUGUAGCAGAAUAUUAUAUGUUGCUGGGAAUCAUUCGAAGGUGUAUUAAUAAGGAGCUCCUAAAUUUGGAGAGUUUAAUAUUUCUUGAUAUAUGCACAUUUGUUCGUGUUCGCAUAUUUAUAUAAAUAUGGAAUAAUAUUGUUGUUGUAAUGUUGUUAUUGUAUAGAAUUAAAUAUUUGCCAUAAACGAUAUAAGCUUAAAAAGUUAUUGGACGAUAGGUUGAAAGG